UCGGAAUGUGGCUCCAGUUCGGGAGGCGUUACCUGCGGAGGGUUUGAGGAAGGCCCAGGAGCGAGCCCAUGGUCUUCCGACGCGGGGCCAGGGGCGGGCCCCAGGAUCCGGAGCUUCGGGGGGGCCGAGUCCGGGUUUGGGGCCCGGGAGGCGGGGCCAGUUAGGUCGAGGGUCCCUGGGAUCGUCGGGUCAGGCCUUGGGCUAACGUAGGCACUCUCGCAGUUCCUCCGCCUUCAGGAAGGUCUUUUUAGCAGGGGCCUUACGGGUGCAUGCUUCGGUCCUGGAGGACUUAGGCUAGCCUCCUCUCCAUCAGCGCCACCCGUCUGGGGCCCGAAAGGAGGGAGCUUUCCCUCUGUCCCCCAGCCUUUGGACUGUCACCAAACAAGCCAUUCGUUCACCAAAUACUUUUUAAGCGCCUACCAUGUGCCUGACAAGGGAUAUGUAACGGUGAGAAAAACUAGGUGUGGUCCAGGCCCUUCAGGGACUCAGGGGCUCGUGGAAGAAGUGGAUAUUGAAGUACUUAUCACACAAAGGAGGAUAAAAGUACGAUAGCGAUAUCUACCACGAAGCUGUUGUUCCACACCAGAACCAAAUGAGCGCAAGAUCUGACAAAAAAAAAAGGGUCUCUCUCUCUGCCACUCAGGCCAGAGUGCAGUUGACGCAGAGCAGGGGAGCCCUGAAAUGGAGCAUAGUGUGUCCGGAACUGGUGGGUUCUUGGUCUCACUGACUUCAAGAAUGAAGCUGCGGACCCUCGGGA
rnacentral:lncRNA from 1 species